rnacentral:rRNA from 1 species
GUCCACGCCGUAAACGAUGAGUGCUAGGUGCUGCGGGUAUUGACCCCUGCGGUGCCGUAGCUAACGCGUUAAGCACUCCGCCUGGGGAGUACGGUCGCAAGACUAAAACUCAAAGGAAUUGACGGGGGCCCGCACAAGUGGUGGAGCAUGUGGUUCAAUUCGACGCAACGCGCAGAACCUUACCUGGGUUAAAUCCACUCGAACGGAGUAGAGAUAUUCUGGUGCCCUUCUGGGGAGCGAGUGAGAAGGUGCUGCAUGGCUGUCGU